rnacentral:rRNA from 1 species
CCCUCUUUGAGGGUGGGAAGGUGGGGAUGACGUCAAGUCAGGAUGGCCCUUACGGCUAGGGCUGCACACGUGCUACCAUGCCUGAUACAGAGGGAUGCAAUACCGCCGAGGUGAGCUAAUCCUAAAAAUCAGGCCCAGUUCAGAUUGUAGUCUGCAACUCGACUACAUGAAGUUGGAAUCGCUAGUAAUGGCGUAUCAGCUACGACGCCGUGAUACGUUCCCGGGCCUUGUACACACCGCCCGUCACAUCAUGAAAGCCGGUUUCGCCCGAAGUGCG